CCAUGUAGUCCACAUUCUUAGAUUUCUUAGACAUCUAAUCUCUGAAGCUAAGCAGGGUUGGGCCUAGUUAGUACUUGGAUGGGAGACCACCUAGGAAGACUGGGUGCUGUAGGUG
rnacentral:rRNA from 1 species